GCUCAGGAUGAACGCUGGCGGCGUGCCUAACACAUGCAAGUCGAACGAAGAGGCCCCUUCGGGGGUACUUCAGUGGCGGACGGGUGAGUAACACGUAGGUGACCUGCCCCGAAGUGUGGAAUAACAGUCCGAAAGGAUUGCUAAUACCGCAUGUGGUCUGUAGGGUUAGAGUCUUGCAGACUAAAGCAGUAAUGCGCUUCGGGAGGGGCCUGCGCCCCAUCAGCUAGUUGGUAGGGUAAUGGCCUACCAAGGCAACAACGGGUAGGGGGCCUGAGAGGGUGACCCCCCACAUUGGCACUGACACACGGGCCAAACUCCUACGGGAGGCAGCAGUGAGGAAUAUUGCUCAAUGGGCGAAAGCCUGAAGCAGCAACGCCGCGUGCGCGAUGAAGGCCUUCGGGUCGUAAAGCGCUUUUGAGAGGGACGAGAUAGGACGGUACCUCUUGAAUAAGUCACGGCUAACUACGUGCCAGCAGCCGCGGUAAAACGUAGGUGGCAAGCGUUAUCCGGAUUCACUGGGCGUAAAGCGCGUGCAGGUGGCUUCGUAAGUUGGACGUUAAAUCUCCCGGCCUAACCGGGAGGAGUCGUUCAAUACUGCGGGGCUGGAGGGCAGAAGAGGGGGGUGGAAUUGCUGGUGUAGUGGUGAAAUGCGUAGAUAUCAGCAGGAACACCUGUGGCGAAAGCGGCCCCCUGGUCUGCUCCUGACACUCAGACGCGAAAGCUAGGGGAGUGAACGGGAUUAGAAACCCCGGUAAUCCUAGCUGUAAACGAUGGAUGCUAGGUGUGGGUGGUAUUGACCCCAUCCGUGCCGAAGCCAACGCGUUAAGCAUCCCGCCUGGGG
rnacentral:rRNA from 1 species